rnacentral:rRNA from 1 species
GAUGAACGCUGGCGGCGUGCCUAAUACAUGCAAGUCGAGCGAACAGACGAGGAGCUUGCUCCUCUGACGUUAGCGGCGGACGGGUGAGUAACACGUGGAUAACCUACCUAUAAGACUGGGAUAACUUCGGGAAACCGGAGCUAAUACCGGAUAAUAUAUUGAACCGCAUGGUUCAAUAGUGAAAGACGGUUUUGCUGUCACUUAUAGAUGGAUCCGCGCCGCAUUAGCUAGUUGGUAAGGUAACGGCUUACCAAGGCAACGAUGCGUAGCCGACCUGAGAGGGUGAUCGGCCACACUGGAACUGAGACACGGUCCAGACUCCUACGGGAGGCAGCAGUAGGGAAUCUUACGCAAUGGGCGAAAGCCUGACGGAGCAACGCCGCGUGAGUGAUGAAGGUCUUCGGAUCGUAAAACUCUGUUAUUAGGGAAGAACAAAUGUGUAAGUAAAUAUGCACGUCUUGACGGUACCUAAUCAGAAAGCCACGGCUAACUACGUG